CGGUGUACGAUCUUACAGUGUAUAUUUACAUGAAGAUUUUUGAUAACAUACAUAACAUGAUUAUUGAUUCAGUAUGAAUAUUUUAUCAUGAUGAAUUGUUAAGUAAGGUGCAUGUUAGCUUUUCAAACCCUGCAUGAACAUGUUUAGUACUAUACUAGAUCCGGUAAGAUUAUGCAGGAUUACUUACUGAGCCGUGUAGCUCAUACCAUUCUAUUGGUAUUUUCUUUCAGAUCCUCACCACUGAUAACAGUUAGAGAUGUUCCUAUUUUGUAUCAGGGCUUCUCUCUUUUGGGGUAGAGCAAACAUACAUUUGUAUACAUAAACUGUAUAGAAGCUCUGUGUUUUGUACCACUCAGUGUGUUGUAAUAGAACUACUUUAAUAUAUGAAAGUUUGAAUGGUUUGACUACCCUAUUUACUCAUGUAUGAGGCUUCAUGCUAUUGUGGGUAGUAGUCGGCAAUAGCACGGCCGUGUCACGGAUCCGGGUACGGGGCGUGGCAAAUACAGGGGAAAGGUAGAUGCUAACAGAAUUCAGCUCCUGCAUCCAGUAUGUGUCAUAGUGGCCGAAUUUAACCAAUUAGUCUUAAAUGUUUGUCUGGCUCUUUCUCUACCCACCCUGGACCAUUCCCUUUCCUGGUCUGAGAUUGUAGCAUCAGUUGUUUCUAUUCUAGCCUUUUACAUUCAUUUAGUGACUGCUU
rnacentral:lncRNA from 1 species